CCUACGGGAGGCAGCAGUGAGGAAUAUUGGGCAAUGGGGGCAACCCUGACCCAGCCAUGUCGCGUGAGUGAAUAAGGCCCUAUGAUUGUAAAGCUUUUUUGGUCAUGACACUGAUGCCGGUAGCGUUUCAAGAAUCACCGGCAAACUUCGUGCCAGCUGCCGUGGGUAUAUGAAGGGUGCGAGCGUUGUACGGAAUUACUGGGCGUAAAGGGAGUGUAGGCGGUUAUGUAAGAUAGCGGUGAAAUGCCGGGGUUCAACCCCGGAACUGCCAUUAUGACUCUGUAUCUAGAGUCAAGGAGAGGAUAGCGGAAUGCGCAGUGUAGAGGUGAAAUGCGUAGAUAUUGCGUAGAACACCGGUGGCGAAGGCAGCUAUCUGGCCAUUUACUGACGCUGAGGCUCGAAAGCAUGGGGAUCGAACAGGAUUAGAUACCCCUGUAGUC
rnacentral:rRNA from 1 species